rnacentral:rRNA from 1 species
UACGUAGGGUGCAAGCGUUGUCCGGAAUUAUUGGGCGUAAAGAGCUCGUAGGCGGUUUGUCGCGUCUGCUGUGAAAACUCGGGGCUUAACUCCGGAUCUGCGGUGGGUACGGGCAGACUAGAGUGAUGUAGGGGGAGACUGGAAUUCCUGGUGUAGCGGUGAAAUGCGCAGAUAUCAGGAGGAACACCGAUGGCGAAGGCAGGUCUCUGGGCAUUAACUGACGCUGAGGAGCGAAAGCAUGGGGAGCGAACAGG